UACACAACAUCAGAACGACCCAGAUCAGAGCCCUGUGAGGGUUGAACAUGAUGAGAGUUGUCAUGAGGACGUCUGCAGUCUUUACUAUUCUCAUCACAGGAGUCAUGGGACAGUACUCGGUACAUCAGGACCCGUAUAUUACUGUGACAGAGGGAGAAGAUGUGCAAAUAAACUGCAGCUACACUGGCACAGAGUACAGUCUGCAAUGGUACCAGAGUGUCAGCACCCACAAAAUUCAGUCACUUCUGCUCCAGAGAACUAACGGUUAUAAAUCUCUUGGGCGUUUUACAAUGUUUCUGGAUACCAAGGAGAAGUUCACCUAUCUCUACAUGAAGAAGUCACAAGUGGAAAACUCGGCAGUGUACUACUGUGCGAUGGAGGCACAGUGAUAAACUCCAGCAGGGGCACAGUAUAAUAAGCUGUCAGCUCUGGAACACAUCAUCACAUAUCACUGGUGUUGUUCAGUUUUAUCCUAAUGCAUUCUGAAUGGAAAGCAUUCCGUUCAGUAUGCAUCAGUAUUUCUUCAUUUUAGUCCCUCUUAUGGUAUUUGGCCAAAAUUCCGGAACACUUUCCAUUGAAAUGUAUUAAUGCCGGAUCCGAUACCAAGUGUUUCGGAAAACCAGAUCCUGUUUCCUGGUCUGCGCAUGCGCAGACCUUUAAAUCUGUGGGGGGAAAAAACACCGGAGAGACGGAUCUGGUAUUUCAAAUGCAUUUGUCAGAUGGAUGCGCAUGUGGAAACAAAUGCUAUCCAUUUGCAUACAGAUUAUAGUAAAUUUAUUAAUGCACGUUUAUGCAUUAAUUCCCCCAGGUCGAAAAGAUAGACAUUUAAGAAUCAAAGAGUGACAAAAAGAGACUUGGGUAAAAAAGAGGG